GGCGGAAACAAAAGCCCGAGCGAGCAGAGGUAGCAGGAUUGGGCCCGUAGGUGCAUACAGUAAUUCGUGCCUGUUUGUUCGCGCCUGCCAGUCCGAAAGGGAGGAGGAGCCGGGGGGGGCACCUGAAGAGGAUUCUCCUCCUCUUCGUGGGGGCUUGCAUUGGGGAGUAGAGCCUGCGCCGGGCGGCGUUGCAAGGGGGAGCGGCCCCUUCGUCCGCGCACUCUCGCGUGCAUCCAUCCGCGCCCCCUCCCGCCUGGCGCCCCGGACGAGGCUGUUUUGCGGGGGGAGGGGGCUUCGCGCCGGGCCGGGCAGCACUUCCCCGGGGCCCCAUUGGAGGUCGCCUCGCCAGGACGCACGCAGAAGGCAUCGGGGGUCCGCGGUGCGGAGGAGGGGCUGGCGGAGCCCGGCACUUCGGGCUGCACGGGAGGAGAAGCCGCUGGACGGAUGGCGGCGGCCUGGCAGGCUGGAAGAUGGCUCGCAGGGCUGAAGCAGAUGCGACCGUCAUCACGUCCGUCCUGUGGGCGGCUGCUGAGCUCCUGGGCGGCUGCGAUUCCGUAAGUAGCUUGAGCUGCUGCCUCCUCCCCACCUGCCCAGCAACAGGUCCACUGCUUCCCUUCUGGACCUUUGGCAGCCCUUGGAGACGUGGAUUCUUACAGUAGUAACCUAUCCACACACACACCCCAUCACAGGUCUCCUGGGGUGGCAGGAAACGGGCAGACAGCACUGCCCACCUGUUGCAGACUUGGAGCCCGGCUGCUUGGGAGAGAGCAGGCGUGGGAGCUGGUGACUGCGUGCCAGCCGGACUGCUCCAGCCUGGGCUUCCGGAGGAGUAGGGGCAGUCUGAAGGAAAUCCCUGNCUGCUUGGGCCACAGGAGACCUCGCGGUGGCCUGGCACUGCUCGUUCUCCUGUGUGGCAUAGCCGGUGCUCACCAGAGUGACGAGAACAGGAAAGCUGUGCAAGCAGGACAUGGCGAGCAGUGUUUACCGUUUGCGCUCCCGGCUUGGGGGUUCUGCUCCCGUGCCAAAGAAUCCUAGAGAGGCAUCUUCUCUGUCAUGGUUGUUGAGCUCUUUCGGGGCUGGGGGGUCAUAAAGGAAUCUGCCUGUGGGUAGUCAAUUUCGUGAGAGUCAGAUCCUCUAUUCAGACUUCGUGCAAUUCUAGAAGUUUGCUUGUCUUCAGAACGACGCCAUCUUUCCAUUUUUCAAUAUUAUGUCGGCUUCUGGUGCUGAGUCAGACCUUCAAACCUCCUCCUCCUGUUCUGGCCCUUUGGCUCUCCUCUCUAGCCAAGCGGGGUCUUUCACACCCCACUUUUAAGAUGCUUUUCAGGCGUCUGGACCACUAAACAAACCCAAGACCUUUGGAGCAGCACUGGCAAUCCCUGUCCCUUUUGCAAGGCGUCCCUGCUAGNGAAGGGGUCGUUUCCUUUGGGAAUUUUGACUCUCCUCCUUCACUGUUUUGUGCGGGACUCGCCCAAGUCUCUUGGUACGGGUGCUUGUUGAGAAUUUGUAAUCCCAUCCACACUGGUGCCCCUCGCUCUCUUUCUGUCUUCGUUGCCAUCCCAGGGUUUGGAAAGUGGCUUUUCCGCAUGCAGGCCAAAACAGUUGAUCCGCUGCCCCAUGCUGGCCUUAACCAGCUCCCUCCUGGUGGGGCUCUUCGUGUGG
ensembl:lncRNA